AUUCAGCCGACGAGUUCUAAAUAGGACGAAACACACGUCCUGGAU
rnacentral:hammerhead_ribozyme from 1 species